GAUGAACGCUGGCGGCGUGCCUAAUACAUGCAAGUCGAGCGAACAGACGAGGAGCUUGCUCCUCUGACGUUAGCGGCGGACGGGUGAGUAACACGUGGAUAACCUACCUAUAAGACUGGGAUAACUUCGGGAAACCGGAGCUAAUACCGGAUAACAUGUUGAACCGCAUGGUUCAACAGUGAAAGACGGUCUUGCUGUCACUUAUAGAUGGAUCCGCGCCGCAUUAGCUAGUUGGUAAGGUAACGGCUUACCAAGGCAACGAUGCGUAGCCGACCUGAGAGGGUGAUCGGCCACACUGGAACUGAGACACGGUCCAGACUCCUACGGGAGGCAGCAGUAGGGAAUCUUCCGCAAUGGGCGAAAGCCUGACGGAGCAACGCCGCGUGAGUGAAGAAGGUCUUCGGAUCGUAAAACUCUGUUAUUAAGGAAGAACAAAUGUGUAAGUAACUAUGCACGUCUUGACGGUACCUAAUCAGAAAGCCACGGCUAACUACGUG
rnacentral:rRNA from 1 species